CCCUUAGAUGUCCUGGGCCGCACGCGUGCUACACUGACACUUGCAACGAGUACUUUGCUUUACCGAAAGGUAAUGCUAAUCAUCAAUAAGUGUCGUGAUGGGGAUAGAUCUUUGGAAUUAUGGAUCUUGAACGAGGAAUGCCUAGUAAGCGUAGGUCAUUAGCCUACGCUGAUUAAGUCCCUGCCCUUUGUACACACCGCCCGUCGCUCCUACCGAUUUCGAGUGGUCCGGUGAAACUUUUGGACCGUGCGACUUUAUUGUUGUCACGGAAAGUCAGUUAAACCAUACUACUUAGAGGAAGGAGAAGUCGUANCA
rnacentral:rRNA from 1 species